rnacentral:rRNA from 1 species
AGUAACGCGUGGGUAACCUGCCUUAUACAGGGGGAUAACAGUCAGAAAUGGCUGCUAAUACCGCAUAAGCGCACAGAGCUGCGUGGCUCAGUGUGAAAAACUCCGGUGGUAUAAGAUGGACCCGCGUCUGAUUAGCCAGUUGGCGGGGUAACGGCCCACCAAAGCGACGAUCAGUAGCCGACCUGAGAGGGUGACCGGCCACAUUGGGACUGAGACACGGCCCAG